GGAGAGACUGAUUAUGAUUUAUUAGGAUUAUAAAAUGAUGAGUGGGUGGAUUUUUACCAUUAUAGGCUGGUUGUUUUCACACACUGUGGCCACACAACUGUUCAAACACCUUAUAAAAGUGAUUUUUGCAUUCUAUGGCACCUUUAAAAUGGUGAAAAAGUCAUGCGGUUUGGAACGACAUGAUGUCCGAUUCUUCACUAGAUGCUUUUGAGUGACUUGACCAUUAAAUUUGAAGACCACAUUGUGAGCCAUUUGAAGGAAUCUUUUCAGGUGAUGCCAAUUAUCCACAGUGACUCUAUGCACACUCCCCCUUUAAAAUUAAACCACAUUCAGAGGCAGAAUAUACAGUAGUUGCUCUUUUGUUCUGAAAGUUUUCCAGACUAAAGUAAUUCCAGUGCAUAUCAAUCAUUCAGCUUUCAGUUGCUGUGC
ensembl:lncRNA